rnacentral:rRNA from 1 species
CACGUAGUUAGCCGGGGCUUCUUGGUCAGGUACUGUCAUCUUCUUCCCUGCUGAUAGGGCUUUACAUACCGAAAUACUUCGUCACCCACGCGGCGUCGCUGCAUCAGGGUUUCCCCCAUUGUGCAAUAUUCCCCACUGCUGCCUCCCGUAGGAGUUUGGGCCGUGUCUCAGUCCCAAUGUGGCCGGUCACCCUCUCAGGUCGGCUACUGAUCGUCGGUUUGGUGGGCCGUUACCCCGCCAACUGCCUAAUCAGACGCGGGGCCAUCUCAUACCACCGGAGUUUUUCACACCCUGUGAUGCCACAGUGUGCGCUUAUGCGGCAUUAGCAGUCAUUUCUAACUGUUAUUCCCCUGUAUGAGGCAGGUUCCCCACGCGUUACUCACCCGUCCGCCGCUCAGUCAAUUACGCUUCCAUCCGAAAACUUCCGCAUAAGUGCUUCGCUCGACUUGCAUGUGUUAAGCACGCCGCCAGCGUUCAUCCUGAGCCAGGAUCAAACU